GUAGACAGGGCUUUUGCUAUGGACUGGAUGGUCAGGAAUUGGGGAGAAUUCAACCUAGCAGAUUUCCUGGAGGAAAGAGAAGAAAAUGGACUGAGUACAGCACAUGGUACUGACCCUUAUUUUAUGAUUCCUUCACUAUAUCCUGGUGCAGUUACUAACAGAAAUGGUGUGAACAGAUUUGAGGAAUUUGGAUUUGACCUUUUGGACACCACUUGAAAUCCCUAGCAAGAGGCAGAUAGCUGUCCACUUGA